AUUGAACGCUGGCGGCAUGCUUUACACAUGCAAGUCGAACGGUAACAGGUUAAGCUGACGAGUGGCGAACGGGUGAGUAAUGCAUCGGAACGUGCCCGAUCGUGGGGGAUAACGCAGCGAAAGCUGCGCUAAUACCGCAUACGAUCUGAGGAUGAAAGCGGGGGACCGUAAGGCCUCGCGCGAUCGGAGCGGCCGAUGUCAGAUUAGGUAGUUGGUGGGGAAAAGGCUCACCAAGCCAACGAUCUGUAGCUGGUCUGAGAGGACGACCAGCCACACUGGGACUGAGACACGGCCCAGACUCGUACGGGAGGCAGCAGUGGGGAAUUUUGGACAAUGGGCGAAAGCCUGAUCCAGCAAUGCCGCGUGCAGGGAGAAGGCCUUCGGGUUGUAAACUGCUUUUGUACGGAGCGAAAAGGCUCUCUCUAAUACAGGGGGCUCAUGACGGUACCGUAAGAAUAAGCACCGGCUAACUACGUGCCAGCCGCCGCGGUAA
rnacentral:rRNA from 1 species